rnacentral:rRNA from 1 species
AGAAGGAUCAGCCCGCGUAAGAUUAGAUAGUUGGUGGGGUAAUGGCCUACCAAGUCUACGAUCUUUAGCUGGUUUUAGAGGAUGAUCAGCAACACUGGGACUGAGACACGGCCCAGACUCCUACGGGAGGCAGCAGUGGGGAAUCUUAGACAAUGGGCGCAAGCCUGAUCUAGCCAUGCCGCGUGUGUGAUGAAGGCCUUAGGGUCGUAAAGCACUUCGCCAGGGAUGAUAAUGACAGUACUGGUAAAGAAACCCGGCUAACUCCGUGCCAGCAGCCGCGGUAAUACGGAGGGGGUAGCGUUGUUCGGAAUUACUGGGCGUAAAGCGCACGUAGGCGGAUCAGAAAGUUGGGGGUGAAAUCCCAGGGCUCAACCUGGAACUGCCUCCAAAACUCCUGGUCUUGAGUUCGAGAGAGGUGAGUGGAAUUCCGAGUGUAGAGGUGAAAUUCGUAGAUAUUCGGAGGAACACCAGUGGCGAAGGCGGCUCACUGGCUCGAUACUGACGCUGAGGUGCGAAAG